UAUCUUGGAUAUUAGCAUAUAGUACUUCCCGGUCUCCUGCCAAUGCUCCAGUACAGCCAGGCGUCUCUGGAUGACCUUGCAUUACCAUCGUCUCUUAAGCCUCUCACGGAAGAUAUUGGUUUCAGCAGUCGAACCAGAGACCAGAUGCAGGCCACCCGGGACCUCAUUAACAAAAGCCUCCUGAGAUGGUCCCACGGCUGAUGAAACACGGUCUCCCCUUCCCUUAAAAAUUCCGUCCCAAGAGAGCCAACUGGCACUAAGAAAAUGUGAAGGUAUUUUGGUUGGAUCUUGGUUCUCUUUGUGUUUUCUUCAGAGUGUAUAUUAUUAUUUUUUUAAGUGCGGAUUCUUCCAGAUACUUUUGCCGUUCGAUUUUGUUUUUUUAGAUCACGAUUAUUGUCUAUGUAUGUUGUUUAUCAAACUGAAUGAAAUUUCUUUUUUGUGAUAAUUUUCUCGUCAAAUAAAAAAAACAAAAGUG